AGACAGAGGGUGCAAACGUUGCUCGGAAUUACUGGGCUUAAAGCGCACGUAGGCGGCCAAGUAAGUGUCUUGUGAAAGCCCCCGGCCCAACCGGGGAACUGCAUGGCAUACUGCUUGGCUAGAGUUUGGGAGGGGAGAGUGGAACUCCUGGUGGAGCGGUGGAAUGCGUAGAUAUCAGGAGGAACGCCGAAGGUGAAGACAACUCUCUGGUCCAAUACUGACGCUGAGGUGCGAAAGCUAGGGGAGCGAACGGGAUUAGAAACCCCAGUAGUCC
rnacentral:rRNA from 1 species